rnacentral:misc_RNA from 1 species
GAUGAAGAACGCAGCGAGAUGCGAUAAGUAAUGUGAAUUGCAGAAUUCAGUGAAUCAUCGAAUCUUUGAACGCACAUUGCGCCCUUUGGCAUUCCGAAGGGCACACCUGUCCGAGCGCCGUCGCACAACUGAGGCGCAGCCUUGCGUUGGCGGGCGACUUGUGAGUAGCGAGUCGCCGCCCAAACGAGACGGCGCCGCGCCGCGGCCGACGAAGCACGAAAGCGGAAGUCGACGCGGAGGCGGUUGCCUGUAGGAAGACACAGCUUGGCCUCGGAUCAGGUGGGGAUACCCGCUGAACUUAAGCAUAUCAAUAAGCGGAGGA